CGUAGGGUGCGAGCGUUAAUCGGAAUUACUGGGCGUAAAGCGUGCGCAGGCGGUUUUGUAAGACAGGCGUGAAAUCCCCCGGGCUCAACCUGGGAACUGCGCUUGUGACUGCAAGGCUAGAGUACGGCAGAGGGGGGUGGAAUUCCACGUGUAGCAGUGAAAUGCGUAGAGAUGUGGAGGAACACCAAUGGCGAAGGCAGCCCCCUGGGUCGAUACUGACGCUCAUGCACGAAAGCGUGGGUAGCAAACAGGAUUAGAUACCCUGGUAGUCCACGCCCUAAACGAUGUCAACUAGGUGUUGGGUGGGUAAAACCAUUUAGUACCGGAGCUAACGCGUGAAGUUGACCGCCUGGGGAGUGCGGCCGCAAGGUUA
rnacentral:rRNA from 1 species